AGAGUUUGAUCCUGGCUCAGGAUGAACGCCGGCGGUGUGCCUAAUACAUGCAAGUCGUACGCGUUGGCCCAACUGAUUUGAAGUGCUUGCACGGAUCUGACGUUGGUUUACCAACGAGUGGCGGACGGGUGAGUAACACGUAGGUAACCUGCCCAGAAGCGGGGGACAACACUUGGAAACAGGUGCUAAUACCGCAUAACAAUUCAAAUCGCAUGAUUUGAAUUUGAAAGAUGGUUUCGGCUAUCACUUCUGGAUGGACCUGCGGCGCAUUAGCUUGUUGGUGGGGUAACGGCCUACCAAGGCAGUGAUGCGUAGCCGAGUUGAGAGACUGAUCGGCCACAAUGGGACUGAGACACGGCCCAUACUCCUACGGGAGGCAGCAGUAGGGAAUCUUCCACAAUGGGCGCAAGCCUGAUGGAGCAACACCGCGUGAGUGAAGAAGGUUUUCGGAUCGUAAAGCUCUGUUGUUGAAGAAGAACGUGCAUGAGAGUAACUGUUCAUGCAGUGACGGUAUUCAACCAGAAAGUCACGGCUAACUACGUGCCAGCAGCCGCGGUAAUACGUAGGUGGCAAGCGUUAUCCGGAUUUAUUGGGCGUAAAGAGAGUGCAGGCGGUUUCUUAAGUCUGAUGUGAAAGCCUUCGGCUCAACCGAAGAAGUGCAUCGGAAACUGGGAAACUUGAGUACAGAAGAGGGCAGUGGAACUCCAUGUGUAGCGGUGGAAUGCGUAGAUAUAUGGAAGAACACCAGUGGCGAAGGCGGCUGCCUGGUCUGUAACUGACGCUGAGACUCGAAAGCAUGGGUAGCGAACAGGAUUAGAUACCCUGGUAGUCCAUGCCGUAAACGAUGAGUGCUAGGUGUUGGAGGGUUUCCGCCCUUCAGUGCCGGAGCUAACGCAUUAAGCACUCCGCCUGGGGAGUACGACCGCAAGGUUGAAACUCAAAGGAAUUGACGGGGGCCCGCACAAGCGGUGGAGCAUGUGGUUUAAUUCGAAGCUACGCGAAGAACCUUACCAGGUCUUGACAUCUUGCGCCAACCCUAGAGAUAGGGCGUUUCCUUCGGGAACGCAAUGACAGGUGGUGCAUGGUCGUCGUCAGCUCGUGUCGUGAGAUGUUGGGUUAAGUCCCGCAACGAGCGCAACCCUUGUUACUAGUUGCCAUCAUUAAGUUGGGCACUCUAGCGAGACUGCCGGUAAUAAACCGGAGGAAGGUGGGGAUGACGUCAAAUCAUCAUGCCCCUUAUGACCUGGGCUACACACGUGCUACAAUGGUUGGUACAACGAGUCGCGAGUCGGUGACGGUAAGCAAAUCUCUUAAAGCCAAUCUCAGUUCGGAUUGUAGGCUGCAACUCGCCUACAUGAAGUCGGAAUCGCUAGUAAUCGCGGAUCAGCACGCCGCGGUGAAUACGUUCCCGGGCCUUGCACACACCGCCCGUCA
rnacentral:rRNA from 1 species